AUACGGAGGGUGCAAGCGUUACUCGGAAUCACUGGGCGUAAAGCGCGCGCAGGCGGUCUUUUAAGUUGGAUGUGAAAUCCUACGGCUCAACCGUAGAACUGCAUCCAAAACUAUUAGACUAGAGUGUGGGAGAGGAAGAUGGAAUUAGUUGUGUAGGGGUAAAAUCCGUAGAGAUAACUAGGAAUACCAAAAGCGAAGGCAAUCUUCUGGAACACUACUGACGCUGAGGCGCGAAAGCGUGGGGAGUAAACAGGAUUAGAUACCCCAGUAGUCC
rnacentral:rRNA from 1 species